GCGCCUACGGGAGGCAGCAGUCGGGAAUAUUGCGCAAUGGAGGCAACUCUGACGCAGUGACGCCGCGUAUAGGAAGAAGGUUUUCGGAUUGUAAACUAUUGUCCACAGGGAAGAAAAAGACUGUACCUGUGAAGAAAGCUCCGGCUAACUACGUGCCAGCAGCCGCGGUAAUACGUAGGGAGCAAGCGUUAUCCGGAUUUAUUGGGUGUAAAGGGUGCGUAGACGGGAUAACAAGUUAGUUGUGAAAGUUUGCGGCUCAACCGUAAAAUUGCAGUUGAAACUGGCAGUCUUGAGUACAGUAGAGG
rnacentral:rRNA from 1 species